rnacentral:rRNA from 1 species
UACGUAGGUGGCAAGCGUUAUCCGGAAUUAUUGGGCGUAAAGCGUGCGCAGGCGGUUUCUUAAGUCUGAUGUGAAAGCCCACGGCUCAACCGUGGAGGGUCAUUGGAAACUGGGGAACUUGAGUGCAGAAGAGAAAAGCGGAAUUCCACGUGUAGCGGUGAAAUGCGUAGAGAUGUGGAGGAACACCAGUGGCGAAGGCGGCUUUUUGGUCUGUAACUGACGCUGAGGCGCGAAAGCGUGGGGAGCAAACAGG